UGUAACUGUUAUUAUUGUGUUGCUUUUCAGGGUGAGCAGCAAGAAGAAAAUCAACUCUUGCAUAACAAUACCGGGCAAUUUUUACUCCAUUCUGAUUUUGCUAUGAGGUUCUUGUGAACUGUAAAGAAUUACUAGAUAAGUGGAGUACUUUCAGUAACUGAAGUUCCACAGAACGGUGUUGGCGGCUCUGGAUGUUUUGUAGUUACCAAGUUGAGAAGGGAGGAGGACUCAGCCUUCCAUUACAUUUUCCUCCAAAGUCUUCAAGAUCAGAAGAAUCCACAACUGCAUAUUCUCAGCCAGUUCAGCCUCAUCUUUUGCCUUUUUACAUGCACACUGCAAAUAUUUCUAUUAUUUAAUGACUUACUGUUAUGCAAGUAGAAUAAUACUGCCAGUACCUGUUUUGUUGAGUUGCACUCACUGGGUCAAUUACUGAUAGAAGGAUUAUUCUUGUUCAUAGCACUGGAAUAGAGUACAAUUCAUCCCUUGCUGAGGCUUCCCCCAGACCUCCCAUGACACUGGCACUUCAUGCUGAAGAAAGAUCAGAGAAAGUAGACUUGUGAACAUUUCCUUUGGUAAUGUUACAGUGUGACAGAUGAUAUAUUUGGGUUGCUAUAUGAGCAUACACUUUGGAAUAUCUGACUUCUGUAGAGCAGAAUAUUAUCACUGCUAUUUUCCAGUAAAGUCAGCAGAAUGGUGAAUGGAAA